rnacentral:rRNA from 1 species
AACGAACGCUGGCGGCGCGCCUAAUACAUGCAAGUCGAGCGAGAAGACGUAGCAAUACGUUUGUAAAGCGGCGAACGGGUGAGGAAUACAUGGGUAACCUACCCUCGAGUGGGGAAUAACUAGCCGAAAGGUUAGCUAAUACCGCGUACGCUCCUUGGACUUCGGUUCAGGGAGGAAAGCGAUACCGUGGGUAUCGCGCUCUUGGAUGGGCUCAUGUCCUAUCAGCUUGUUGGUGAGGUAACGGCUCACCAAGGCUUCGACGGGUAGCUGGUCUGAGAGGACGAUCAGCCACACUGGCACUGCGACACGGGCCAGACUCCUACGGGAGGCAGCAGUAAGGAAUAUUGCGCAAUGGGCGAAAGCCUGACGCAGCGACGCCGCGUGGGGGAUGAAGGUCUUCGGAUUGUAAACCCCUUUCGGGAGGGAAGAUGGAACGAGCAAUCGUUCGGACGGUACCUCCAGAAGCAGCCACGGCUAACUUCGUGCCAG